GGGGAGGAAGGGAAGGAUUCCCCCCCGAGAUGGUGGAGGGGAGGGAGAGAGAGACCCCCCUUUGUGUGGGGGAGGGGAGGGAGAGAGACCCCUCCUUUGUGUGGGGGAGGGGAAAUCCCCCCUCUCCUUUUGGGUGGGGGAAGGAACAGGCGCCCCUUGGGAUGGGGGAGGGGGCUGAUACCCUCCCUUGGGGUGGGGGAGGGGAGGAAGAGACCCCCCCCCUUGGGGGGGGAGGGAAUAGGCCUCCUACUGGGAUGGAGGAGGGGACUGACACCCCCCAGGGAGCGGGGAAGGGGAGAGAGACCCCCCCCCGUGGGGGGAGGAGGGAGAGAAGCCCCUUUUUGGGUGGGGGGAGGCAUAAACUCGCUGGGAUGGGGGAGGGGACAUAAGCCCCCCCCGGGGGGGGAGGGGAGAGGAGGACCCCUUUGGGUGGGGGUGGGGAAGGGAGAUACCCCCCCCAGGGGCAGCUUGGGGUAGCGGCAUCCCCCCCACCACCACGUUUUUGGGGUGAUCGCCGCUCCAUGACAGUGUUUCAGGUCCCCUCCUUCCCCCCGCCACAGCCCCACGUCCGCUGCCAGGCCCGGGGGUCCCGGGGCCAGCGCAGCCCCCACGGGCGCCUCGAGCCGCCCCGAGGAGGCAGAACCCCGGUGGGACAAAGACGUGUCCUGCCGGGCGAUUCCCGUGCGGAUCCAACCUCCUGUGUGUCCCCUCGUCCCCCGUGCGUGUCCGCCACCGGCCCCUGGGCGAUACCACGUCCGCGAGAGCGACUCGGCCGCACCUCGCGCUCCUGUGUCCGGUCUCUCUUCCAGCCGUGUCCCGUGUGCGUGACCCUCCAACCCUCGCCAUGUACGCGUGCGCAAAGUUCGUUUCCACUCCUGCGCUGGUGAGGACGAGCUCGCGGGUGCUGUGCCGGCCCCUCUCUGCUUCCGUGCUGAGYGGCCCCGAGGUCCGGACAGAGCAGGUAACGCUCCCAGCUCGAACUGGGAGGCUCCUGGGCGGAUUGGGGGGGUGCUGAGCACCGGCUUGGGGAGAGGGAAYGGGAAAGGGAUUGUGCCCUGCUCUUG
rnacentral:lncRNA from 1 species